rnacentral:rRNA from 1 species
UACGGAGGGUGCUAGCGUUAAUCGGAAUUACUGGGCGUAAAGCGCACGCAGGCGGUUUGGUAAGUCAGAUGUGAAAUCCCCGGGCUCAACUGGGGAACUGCAUCUGAUACUGGCAAGCUAGAGUCUUGUAGAGGUGGGUAGAAUUCCAGGUGUAGCGGUGAAAUGCGUAGAGAUUCGGAGGAAUACCGGUGGCGAAGGCGACCCACUGGACGAGGACUGACGCUGAGGUGCGAAAGCGUGGGGAGCAAACAGG